rnacentral:rRNA from 1 species
UUUAAACAUGCAAGUCGAACGGAAACGAAAAUAGCUUGCUAUUUGGCGUCGAGUGGCGAACGGGUGAGUAACGCGUAGGAAUCUACCCAGUAGAGGGGGAUAGCCCGAAGAAAUUCGGAUUAAUACCGCAUAAUCUCUACGGAGUAAAGAAGGCCUCUUUACAAUGCUUUUACUAUCGGAUGAGCCUGCGUUAGAUUAGUUAGUUGGUAGGGUAAAAGCCUACCAAGGCGACGAUCUAUAGCUGGUUUUACGAGAAUGAUCAGCCACACUGGAACUGAGACACGGUCCAGACUCCUACGGGAGGCAGCAGUGAAGAAUAUUGGACAAUGGGGGAAACCCUGAUCCAGCAAUGUUGCGUGUGUGAAGAAGGUCCGAGGAUUGUAAAGCACUUUCAGUAAGCAAGAAAAAUGUAAAUCUAAUAGAUUUGCAUGUUGACCACUUAUAGAAGAAGCACCGGCUAACUCCGUGCCAGCAGCCGCGGUAAUACGGAGGGUGCGAGCGUUAAUCGGAAUUACUGGGCGUAAAGGGUAAGUAGGCGGUUUAUAAAGUCACAUGUGAAAGCCCUAGGCUUAACC